rnacentral:sRNA from 1 species
GUACAAGAAAAUUCCCCAGGACACAGAGCUGGUUUGGAGCCUUUCUUUGAUUUUAUUGUUUCUAUUAAUGGUUCAAGAUUAAAUAAAGACAAUGACACUCUUAAGGAUCUGCUGAAAGCAAACGUUGAAAAGCCUGUAAAAAUGCUUAUCUAUAGCAGCAAAACAUUGGAGCUGCGAGAGACCUCAGUCACACCGAGUAACCUGUGGGGCGGCCAGGGCUUAUUGGGAGUGAGCAUUCGUUUCUGCAGCUUUGAUGGGGCAAAUGAAAAUGUUUGGCAUGUGUUGGAAGUGGAAUCAAAUUCUCCUGCAGCACUGGCAGGUCUUAGACCACACAGUGAUUAUAUAAUUGGAGCAGAUACAGUCAUGAAUGAGUCUGAAGAUCUAUUCAGCCUUAUUGAAACACAUGAAGCAAAACCAUUGAAACUGUAUGUGUACAACACAGACACUGAUAACUGUCGAGAAGUGAUUAUUACACCAAAUUCUGCGUGGGGUGGAGAAGGCAGCCUAGGAUGUGGCAUUGGAUAUGGUUAUUUGCAUCGAAUACCUACACGCCCAUUUGAGGAAGGAAAGAAAAUUUCUCUUCCAGGACAAAUGGCUGGUACACCUAUUACACCUCUUAAAGAUGGGUUUACAGAGGUCCAGCUGUCCUCAGUUAAUCCCCCGUCUUUGUCACCACCAGGAACUACAGGAAUUGAACAGAGUCUGGCUGGACUUU